AUGCUGGGAUCUAUCACUCUCCUUCUUGCCGCCCUGCUCCCUGCAGGCCAGACAGCACUCACCAUGGACCAGCCAAUGGUCUCCAUCACCAGACAGGCCAGGAAGUCUGCAAAAAUCCCCUGCGAGCUUUCUCAGAAAAGCAUCACAUACAUCCACUGGUAUCGCCAGCAGCCUGGGAAGGCUCCCCAGCGCCUGCUCUACUAUGACCUGGCCACAUCGAAACAGACGUUGGAUGCGGGAUUCAGUUCAGACAAAUUCCAUGCUUACAAGACUAAAGAUCAAAGCUGCACCCUGAUGAUUGAGAAACUGGGCACGAAUGAUGCUGGCAUCUAUUACUGCGCCAGCUGGGACUCCACGCCAUCUUUCCACGGAACCUAUUCCAGAGAGCCAAGAACUAAGGGUCAAAGGGAGGAGCAGCUGCCCCUCUCUACAGUCUACAUCCACAGGUAUCACCAAGAGCCUGGAAAGGCUCCCCAGCGACUGCUCUAUAUGAACCUGGCCACAUCUCAACGUGCAAUGGAGGCAGGAUUCAGUCGUACAAAUUCUAUGCUUACAAGGCCAAAGAUCAAACCUGUACCCUGCGGCUAA